rnacentral:tRNA from 1 species
GAGAGAGGCUAAAAAAGCAAUAAGGACUGCUAAUCCUUAUAUCCAUGGUUAAAUUCCAUGGCUCACUCG